rnacentral:rRNA from 1 species
GUCCACGCCCUAACGAUGUCAACUGGUUGUUGGACGGCUUGCUGUUCAGUAACGAAGCUAACGCGUGAAGUUGACCGCCUGGGGAGUACGGCCGCAAGGUUGAAACUCAAAGGAAUUGACGGGGACCCGGCACAAGCGGUGGAUGAUGUGGUUUAAUUCGAUGCAACGAGAAAACCUUAACCUACCCUUGACAUGUCUGGAAUUUUGUCAGAGAUGUGAAAGUGCUCGAAAGAGAGCCAGAACACAGGUGCUGCAUGGCCGUCGU